GCGUCUGAGCCUGUGAACAGUGACAGUGGCCUGCUGUCGUUAAGCUGUCAUAAGGCAUUGACGAGUAUGAGUUUCUGAGCAAGCUAGAACAACAAAGUCAAAGCCAUCCAAAGUUUUUGUGGAUAGCUUUUGUUGACUGAGUAUCUUGUCUUUUAGGACAACGCAUUGAGGAAAUCCUGAGGUCCAACUGGUGGUUCUGAAGAGUGAGGAGAUCCAGAAAGCACUUCGUACACCUAGGACACCGCAUUGAGGAAAUCCCGAGGUCCAACUGGUGGUUCUGAAGAGUGAGGAGAUCCAGAAAGCACUUCGUACACCUAGGAACAACAUCAACUGCUGAGUGCUGAAGAAGAGUCCUCUGAAGAACUUGAGGAUAUUGCUCAAACUGAACAAUCGUGCCAGGCAGCUGUUUAUUUCAGCCUGCCCAUGCACACGAUCAUCAACACGAAUCUGAGAUUUGGACAAGCACUAUGUACACCUAGGAACUGCAGAGUGCUGAAGAAGAAUCCCUAAAGAACUUGAGGAUAAUGCUAAACCUUUACACCAGGAAUCUGAAAAGUGAGGAGAUCCAGAAGGCACUUCCUACACAAACGACACCGCAUUGAGGAAAUCCCGAGGUCCAACUGGUGGUUCUGAAGAGUGAGGAGAUCCAGAAAGCACUUUGUACACCUAGGAACAACAUCAACUGCAGAGUGCUGAAGAAGAAUCCUCUGAAGAACUUGAGGUUAUUGCUCAAACUGAACAAUCGUGCCAGGCAGCUGUUUAUUUCAGCCUGCUGUUUAUUUCAGCCUGCCCAUGCGCACGAUCAUCAACACGAAUCUGAGAUUUGGACAAGCACUAUGUACACCUAGGAACAACGUCAACUGCCGAGUGCUGAAGAAGAGUCCUCUGAAGAACUUGAGGUUAUUGCUCAAACUGAACAAUCGUGCCAGGCAGAUGUUUAUUUCAGCCUGCCCAUGCACACGAUCAUCAACACGAAUCUGAGAUUUGGACAAGCACUAUGUACACCUAGGAAAUGUAUCAACUGCAGAGUGCUGAAGAAGAGUCCUCUGAAGAACUUGAGGAUAUUGAACAAUCGUGCCUGGCAGCUGUUUAUUUCAGCCUGCCCAUGCACACGAUCAUCAACACGAAUCUGAGAUUUGGACAAGCACUUCGUACACCUAGGAACAACGUCAACUGCUGAGUGCUGAAGAAGAGUCCUCUGAAGAACUUGAGGAUAAUGCUCAAACUGAACAAUCGUACCAGGCAGCUGUUUAUUUCAGCCUGCCCAUGCACACGAAUCUGAGAUUUGGACAAGCACUAUGUACACCUAGGAACAUCAACUGCAGAGUGCUGAAGAAGAGUCCCUAAAGAACUUGAGGAUAAUGCUAAACCUUUACACCAGGAAUCUGAAAAGUGAGGAGAUCCAGAAGGCACUUCCUACACAAACGAACAGCUGCAGAGUGCUGAAGAAGAAUCCCUAAAGAACUUGAUUAUAAUGCUCAAACUGAACCCUUAGACCAGGCAGCUGUUUAUUUCAGCCUGCCCAUACACGGGUCUGAGCUGGAAUCUGAGAUUUGGACAAGCACUUCGUACACCUACGAACAAUGUCAAGUGCUGAAGAAGAAUCCUUUGAAGAACUUGAUGAUAUUGACCAAACUGAACAAUCGUGCCUGGCAGUUGUUUAUUUCAGCCUGCCCAUGCACACGAUCAUCAACACGGUUCUGAGAUUUGGAGAAAUUCACUUCCUACACCUACGAACAACCUCAACUGCAGAGUGCUGAAGGAGAAUCCCUAAAGAACUGGAGGAUAAUGCUAAACCUUAACACCAGGAAUCUAAAAAGUGAGGAGAUCCAGAAGGCACUUCCUACACAAACAUCAAAACCAAGAUACUGAAGCCCAAGAAGAUUCCUGGAAAGCACAGAAGAACUGCCAAACCAGUCAUAUACAAAAUGAAUGAAUAAAUAUUUGAUUUCAAAUGAA